rnacentral:misc_RNA from 1 species
CAAAUAUUGAACUGAAUAUUUAUUAAAAAUAUCAUUUAAAAACUUUAAAACAUUUUAAAAUAGAAAAAGAAAAUUUUAAAAAUUCAUGAUCAUACCAAUGGACGCCUCUCCCUCAGCGGGAUAUGAUGAACCCUCACCCACCUGGCAAAUUCCUCAGGUUGAACUUCAACGAACUCUGAUUGGAAGUUUCCACCGCAAAAAUUAUUUGCUCUCUUCUUCGUUGUUAAGUUUUCUUCCCACUCAUCCAUAAAAUAUCCAUAUCUGCAAUUCUUGAAGAAGGAGAGGAAAAGCUUUCUAAUUAUGGGCCAAAGUCUUGAUUCAAUGAGCCAAAACCAAUCCAAAGGAGAGAUGCUUUAUCAGCUUCUUAAUUCUGGGAAUGUUGAUGCUAUUAAAGCUCUUUGCAGAGAAGGUGCUAAUCUUGAGUGGAUUGACAAAGAAGGGAAAACUCCUCUCAUUGUGUCUUGCAUGGAUUCUGGGCUGUUCAAUGUUGCCAAAACUUUGAUUGAAAUGGGAGCCAAUGUCAAUGCUUAUCGCCCUGGGCGUCAUGCGGGUACUGCUUUACAUCACGCAGCAAAAAGAGGCCUGGAGAAGACUGCUCUAUUACUUCUUUCCAGUGGAGCAAAUGCUCUAGUGAGAAAUGAUGAUUGUCACACUGCUUUGGAUGUUGCAAGAAUAAAGGGGCAUACCAAUGUUGUCCGUGCUAUUGAGAAUCAUAUUUGCUAUUUCUCUGGAUGGCUAUGGGAGUUUCAUGGUCCUGGCUUUCUCGAAGCAUUAGCUCCUCCAUUAUUAUCUAGAAAAAUCAUCAAUUAAAUUAGCUGACUGAGGCUCAUUGCUUGCAGCUGGGUUGUUGUUACACCUUGUGGUUCCAGUAAUCCCAUGAAGCCCCUUAGGCUGGAGCUUGCCAUUUAUUCUACUAUGCAGGUCUGUUAUUCCAAUUGUUCAAUUUGCUUCCAGCCUAAUGAUCUAGAUUUUAGAACCAAUUGUCUUUUGUGCUUGUCUGCCUUGGAGCAUUAUUAUGUAAAAUAUUUUGAAUGCUUCCAAGGUUAUAAAGUGGUUCAGUUGAAUAUUUAUUUUUAGGGUCUUUUUAGGAUAGUUAUUUGUAUAGAAAUGGCAUAGUUGACUGGUGGACCCAUCAAUUCCAAAGGAUGGCUGCAAAAAAAUACAAAAAAAAAAGUCUGUAGCAAUAGGUGUUUUUAUAUUUUUAAUCAAAUAAAUUUCUUUCAUCAAAGGACAAGGACAACGAUUUUUUAAAAAUGCAUACUUGAGCCACAACUUCAAUAGUUGUUGGGUGGAUCUAUAUAGUUCUUUUUUGCUUUCUACAGCUCCGUAUACUUGCAAAAAAAAUAGACAAAAUCCUCUUAUGGCCUACAGCAAUAUAUUCAUAGUACUUCCGCGUGGUUCUCCGGAAUUUGGAAGUGUUUUUUUAAUUCGUCUUUUAGGUGUUAAAAUCCACUAGAAUUAGUUCCCACCAAUCAAGCAGCAACGUGCAUUGACUGCCAACUAGGUGAUCCAGUCUAACAAUUUUUUUCUUGAAAGUUGUGAACAUAACCCAUAAUUUGUGCUUCAGCCUUAACAAUGUCAAAUAUUCUCUUUUACUUAUUUAUAUAUCCUGUCAUCAAUUUGUGAAUCUUUCAAGUUUAGUGUUGAUUAAUAAACAGGAUGCUCAACCUCGUACAGUCAUUGCUCUUUGGAAGGAAAAGAUUGAGGAGGCCAAAUUUCAUCAGUUGGAUCCAGGGCUCACUAUAUUUGAUAAUUCUACAAAAAAUCAAUACAAAUUUGUCUCAUCCAAUGAGGAUGACAAACAGCAGCUUCGCAAGUUGUAUGAUGCAUGCAGAGGAAUUCGUCAGAUUGUGCCUCCGCCAACUCACCAUGAUACUCAAAACGCAUUUCCGGUGAAUAGACAACAAGCAUCUGCAGAAGCUCUGGACUUGGCAAUGGCAUUAAGUGCUUCCAUUCAGUCUGCAACAAAGGAAAGGCCACCACUUAAUACUCAACAGAUUCCAGAAGCAAUUAAUGCAAAUGGCUGGGGAAAUUCUCUACAUGGUGAGAGUCACAAUGGAUGGGGCACAGCUGUUGCAUCCACACUAUCUGAGGCAAGCAGCAGUGGAUGGAUAAACAAGGGCGAAAAAGAAGACUACAAUGGAUGGGGUGUGCCUAUUUCUAGGCCACUUGGUAAUCAAGGUCAUGUAGAAAUCCAUGACAAUGCUACUACUGUUGUUCAAACAAGUGGUAUCACAAACUCAAUUCCAUCGGCUCCCCCAAUUCCAAAUGAGGUUUUAAAUGAUGGGCCAAUCCACUAUCCAAUAGUUGAUUUUAGUCCAGUGGAUUCAUUUGUUCCACCUGUAGAGCAUGGAACUUCUGUAACAAGUGAUGUGAAGGAUGGAGCUGGCUCUUCAUCAUGUAUAAUAUGUUGGGAAUCUCCCAUAGAAGGUGCAUGCAUUCCUUGUGGUCACAUGGCUGGUUGCAUGGCUUGUUUGAGCGAGAUCAAAGCCAAGAAAGGUGUUUGCCCUGUUUGCAGAGCAAAAAUAAGCCAAGUUAUAAGGCUAUAUGCUGUCUGAAAAGUGGACAUGAUUAUACUGGAUCUGUGAUUGGAUUAUGAACAUUUUUUUUGCUUAAAUUUUUUCACUUAUGAACUUGUGUUAUAUGUAUAUUGUUUAUGUUUGUGUUGAUUACUGAACAUUUCUUAAAGAACUGAAUACAACAUAAAUGUUCACAAGAGCUUGUCAAAAUGGCAGUUGCUUA